rnacentral:rRNA from 1 species
GAUGAACGCUGGCGGCGUGCCUAAUACAUGCAAGUCGAGCGAACAGAUGAGGAGCUUGCUCCUCUGACGUUAGCGGCGGACGGGUGAGUACACCGUGGAAACCCAACCUUUAAAACGGGGUAACCUUGGGGAAACCGGGCGGAAUACGGGAAAAUAUUUGAAACGGCAGGUUUCAUAGGUAAAGACGGGUUUGGCUUUACCUUAUAGAUGGUUCCGCGCCGCAUUAGCUAGUUGGUAAGGUAACGGCUUACCAAGGCAACGAUGCGUAGCCGACCUGAGAGGGUGAUCGGCCACACUGGAACUGAGACACGGUCCAGACUCCUACGGGAGGCAGCAGUAGGGAAUCUUCCGCAAUGGGCGAAAGCCUGACGGAGCAACGCCGCGUGAGUGAUGAAGGUCUUCGGAUCGUAAAACUCUGUUAUUAGGGAAGAACAAAUGUGUAAGUAACUAUGCACGUCUUGACGGUACCUAAUCAGAAAGCCACGGCUAACUACGUG